rnacentral:lncRNA from 1 species
CAUAAUGCACAUGUAACUUUAAACCAUAGAAUACUUGAUCUAUAUCAGAAUGAAUGCACAACUCAAAUCAACAUUAAAAAAUUAAUCAGUGCUCAGUUUGGUCACUUCCAAUUAAUUAAACAAUAUAAAGGUGGCAAAUAUAUAUCCAAUUAAACAAUAUAAAGGUGGCAAAUAUAUACUGCACUCUACAAAUGGACAAGGCUAUUGCCAAAAUUGAUGACUUAACAGACAAGCUCAAUUAACAGUAACGAGUUGUUCGA